rnacentral:rRNA from 1 species
CCGUAGCUUGCUGUGUAAGUCCAUUGGGAAAUCGACCAGCUCAACUGGUCGGCGUCCGGUGGAAACUACACAGCUUGGGGCCGAGAGACUCAACGGGUACGUCCGGGGUAGGAGUGAAAUCCUGUAAUCCUGGACGGACCACCAAUGGGGAAACCACGUUGAGAGACCGGACCCGACAGUGAGGGACGAAAGCCAGGGUCUCGAACCGGAUUAGAUACCCGGGUAGUCCUGGCCGUAAACAAUGCCCGCUAGGUAUGGCGCAGGCUACGAGCCUGUGCUAUGCCGUAGCGAAGGCGCUAAGCGGGCCGCCUGGGAAGUACGUUCGCAAGAAUGAAACUUAAAGGAAUUGGCGGGGGAGCACUACAACCGGAGGAGCCUGCGGUUUAAUUGGACUCAACGCCGGACAUCUCACCAGCACCGACAAUGUGCAGUGAAGGUCAGUUUGAUGAGCUUACUGGAGCCAUUGAGAGGAGGUGCAUGGCCGCCGUCAGCUCGUACCGUGAGGCAUCCUGUUAAGUCAGGCAACGAGCGAGAUCCGCACUUCUAGUUGCCAGCAACACCAUUGGUGGUUGGGUACACUAGAAGGACUGCCACGGCUAACGUGGAGGAGGGAGCGGGCAACGGUAGGUCAGCAUGCCCCGAAUGUGCUGGGCAACACGCGGGCUACAAUGGCUGUGACAAUGAGAAGCUAUCCCGAGAGGGAGCGCUAAUCCCCUAAACGCAGUCGUAGUUCGGAU